UUAUUGCAACCUUCUAAUAACUUUACAUCUUCUUAUCCAAAGAAGAAGGGUUAGAAUGUACCGUGUUUUACGGAAGUUCCAUUCCCGUAGGGUUACAAUGUGUUGCUAGAAUAAACCGUAAGUCAUAGUACAUAUAGAGGCCAAUUCUGUAAACUUUUUUAAAGUCUAUGGAAAACCCUCUAUGUGUCUCCAAUAGAGAACGGACAUCUC
rnacentral:snoRNA from 15 species